AUGUGCAAAGUCAUUCGUGAUAAUCUUAAAGCCGCGCAAUCGCGCCAGAAAAGUUACUAUGAUAGCAAGCAUCGUGACUUGGCUUUCGACAUCGGAGACCAUGUCUACCUCCGCGUCUCUCCAAUGAAAGGUACUCGUCGUUUCGGUAUCAAAGGGAAGCUUGCCCCUAGAUACGUGGGUCCUUUAAAGAUCAUCAGCAAAAGAGGUGAUCUCGCCUAUCAACUUGAGCUUCCCUCCAACUUUGCAAAUGUGCACGACAUGUUUCAUGUGUCGCAACUCCGCAAGUGUUUCAAGACUCCUGACCAUACCGUCGACUUCGAAGAGAUUGAUCUUCAAUAA
rnacentral:rRNA from 1 species